AAAUUGAAGAGUUUGAUCAUGGCUCAGAUUGAACGCUGGCGGCAGGCCUAACACAUGCAAGUCGAGCGGUAGCACAGAGAGCUUGCUCUCGGGUGACGAGCGGCGGACGGGUGAGUAAUGUCUGGGAAACUGCCUGAUGGAGGGGGAUAACUACUGGAAACGGUAGCUAAUACCGCAUAACGUCGCAAGACCAAAGAGGGGGACCUUCGGGCCUCUUGCCAUCAGAUGUGCCCAGAUGGGAUUAGCUAGUAGGUGGGGUAACGGCUCACCUAGGCGACGAUCCCUAGCUGGUCUGAGAGGAUGACCAGCCACACUGGAACUGAGACACGGUCCAGACUCCUACGGGAGGCAGCAGUGGGGAAUAUUGCACAAUGGGCGCAAGCCUGAUGCAGCCAUGCCGCGUGUAUGAAGAAGGCCUUCGGGUUGUAAAGUACUUUCAGCGGGGAGGAAGGCGAUAAGGUUAAUAACCUUGUCGAUUGACGUUACCCGCAGAAGAAGCACCGGCUAACUCCGUGCCAGCAGCCGCGGUAAUACGGAGGGUGCAAGCGUUAAUCGGAAUUACUGGGCGUAAAGCGCACGCAGGCGGUCUGUCAAGUCGGAUGUGAAAUCCCCGGGCUCAACCUGGGAACUGCAUUCGAAACUGGCAGGCUAGAGUCUUGUAGAGGGGGGUAGAAUUCCAGGUGUAGCGGUGAAAUGCGUAGAGAUCUGGAGGAAUACCGGUGGCGAAGGCGGCCCCCUGGACAAAGACUGACGCUCAGGUGCGAAAGCGUGGGGAGCAAACAGGAUUAGAUACCCUGGUAGUCCACGCCGUAAACGAUGUCGACUUGGAGGUUGUGCCCUUGAGGCGUGGCUUCCGGAGCUAACGCGUUAAGUCGACCGCCUGGGGAGUACGGCCGCAAGGUUAAAACUCAAAUGAAUUGACGGGGGCCCGCACAAGCGGUGGAGCAUGUGGUUUAAUUCGAUGCAACGCGAAGAACCUUACCUACUCUUGACAUCCAGAGAACUUUCCAGAGAUGGAUUGGUGCCUUCGGGAACUCUGAGACAGGUGCUGCAUGGCUGUCGUCAGCUCGUGUUGUGAAAUGUUGGGUUAAGUCCCGCAACGAGCGCAACCCUUAUCCUUUGUUGCCAGCGGUUAGGCCGGGAACUCAAAGGAGACUGCCAGUGAUAAACUGGAGGAAGGUGGGGAUGACGUCAAGUCAUCAUGGCCCUUACGAGUAGGGCUACACACGUGCUACAAUGGCGCAUACAAAGAGAAGCGACCUCGCGAGAGCAAGCGGACCUCAUAAAGUGCGUCGUAGUCCGGAUUGGAGUCUGCAACUCGACUCCAUGAAGUCGGAAUCGCUAGUAAUCGUAGAUCAGAAUGCUACGGUGAAUACGUUCCCGGGCCUUGUACACACCGCCCGUCACACCAUGGGAGUGGGUUGCAAAAGAAGUAGGUAGCUUAACCUUCGGGAGGGCGCUUACCACUUUGUGAUUCAUGACUGGGGUGAAGUCGUAACAAGGUAACCGUAGGGGAACCUGCGGUUGGAUCACCUCCUUA
rnacentral:rRNA from 2 species